UAUAGGCAAGUUAAGCUUCCCUCUGAAGUUGGAUAGUGACAGUAAUUACUGUCUCGCCUCCUAAGAGCUACACCUGUCAGUAACCAAGUAUCUAGCAUUGCACUUUGUCAUCUGCAAGCCUCUAUCGGCACCCUGUGAAAUGUGUUUAUCAUUUCUUCCACUACAGACACUUUAAACUCAAGAUCAAACCUUGCAGAGAAGUUUGGCUUCGCGAAUUUGGUGUUCAGAUCACAGCAGCCUGAACUGAGUGCAUCAUUCUGUGAUGCAACAGAGACAGAUUGUGACCUAUUCACCAAUAGAAAAUCCCAGGAAUGAGUAGGAAUUCCCUGGAAGAAAAGACUCAGGAUGAGUAGCUGAUCUGGAUCCUCCUUGAGGCAGCGAUGACAUCCGGCACUGCAGACUGUGGUUCCUCAGCCAGCCAUUAAACGAGCUAGACCAGUGCUGCAGGUCCAACACACUGG
rnacentral:lncRNA from 1 species